UAUUAAUCGACUCUCCACGAUAUCUUUCACUUUUAUUUAUAUUUUAUAUACCACCAUCUUUUAGGAUUAAUAUAAAUAUUCUUUCCUUAAUAGAAACUUCUCAUAAGUUAGGUAAAGGUGUAGACUAUAUAAAAGAUAAGAUGGGUUACAUUAAGAAAUACUGAAGGAUAAUCAUUCAAAUAUUUUUGGAA
rnacentral:rRNA from 1 species